CCUANGGGUGGCAGCAGUGAGGAAUAUUGCGCAAUGGACGAAAGUCUGACGCAGCAACGCCGCGUGCGGGAUGAAGGCCUUUUAGGUCGUAAACCGCUGUAGCAGGGGAAAAAUAUCCCGUUAGACGGGAUUGAUGGUACCCUGAAAGUAAGCCUCGGCUAACUACGUGCCAGCAGCCGCGGUAAUACGUAGGAGGCAAGCGUUGUCCGGAUUUACUGGGUGUAAAGGGUCCGCAGGCGGAUGUAUAAGUCGGUGGUGAAAUCCUACAGCUUAACUGUAGAGCUGCCUCCGAUACUGUAUAUCUUGAAUAUAGGAGAGGGCAAUAGAAUUCCAGGUGUAGCGGUGAAAUGCUUAGAUAUCUGGAAGAAUACCGGUAGCGAAGGCUGUUGCCUGGCCUAUUAUUGACGCUCAGGGACGAAAGCGUGGGGAUCAAACAGGAUUAGAUACCCGANUANUC
rnacentral:rRNA from 1 species